rnacentral:rRNA from 1 species
AAGCUCGUAGUUGAAUUUCGCGGUUAGUAGGUUGGUCAUGCCUCUGGUAUGUACUGGUCUCACUGAUUCCUCCUUCCUGAUGAACCGUGAUGCCAUUAAUUUGGUGUUGCGGGGAAUUUGGACUGUUACUUUGAAAAAAUUAGAGUGUUUAAAGCAAGCUAACGCUUGAAUACAUUAGCAUGGAAUAAUGAAAUAGGACGUUCGAUCCUAUUUUGUUGGUUUCUAGGAUUGACGUAAUGAUUAAUAGGGAUAGUUGGGGGCAUUAGUAUUCAAUUGUCAGAGGUGAAAUUCUUGGAUUUAUUGAAGACUAACUACUGCGAAAGCAUUUGCCAAGGAUGUUUUCAUUAAUCAAGAACGAAAGUUAGGGGAUCGAAGACGAUCAGAUACCGUCGUAGUCUUAACCAUAAACUAUGCCGACUAGGGAUCGGAUGAUGUUAAUUUUUUAAUGACUCAUUCGGCGCCUUACGGGAAACCAAAGUGUUUGGGUUCCGGGGGGAGUAUGGUCGCAAGGCUGAAACUUAAAGGAAUUGACGGAAGGGCACCACCAGGGGUGGAGCCUGCGGCUUAAUUUGACUCAACACGGGGAAA